rnacentral:rRNA from 1 species
UACGAGGGGAGCAAGCGUUGUUCGGAUUUACUGGGCGUAAAGGGCUCGUAGGCGGCCAACUAAGUCAGACGUGAAAUCCCUCGGCUUAACCGGGGAACUGCGUCUGAUACUGGAUGGCUUGAGUUUGGGAGAGGGAUGCGGAAUUCCAGGUGUAGCGGUGAAAUGCGUAGAUAUCUGGAGGAACACCGGUGGCGAAGGCGGCAUCCUGGACCAACACUGACGCUGAGUGAGCGAAAGCCAGGGGAGCAAACGGG